rnacentral:rRNA from 1 species
AUUGAACGCUGGCGGCAUGCCUUACACAUGCAAGUCGAACGGCAGCACGGGAGCAAUCCUGGUGGCGAGUGGCGAACGGGUGAGUAAUAUAUCGGAACGUGCCCAGUCGUGGGGGAUAACGUAGCGAAAGCUACGCUAAUACCGCAUACGAUCUACGGAUGAAAGCGGGGGAUCGCAAGACCUCGCGCGAUUGGAGCGGCCGAUAUCAGAUUAGCUAGUUGGUGAGGUAAAGGCUCACCAAGGCGACGAUCUGUAGCUGGUCUGAGAGGACGACCAGCCACACUGGAACUGGGACACGGUCCAGACGCCUACGGGAGGCAGCAGUGGGGAAUUUUGGACAAUGGGCGCAAGCCUGAUCCAGCAAUGCCGCGUGCAGGAUGAAGGCCUUCGGGUUGUAAACUGCUUUUGUACGGAACGAAACGGUGAGCUCUAAUACAGUUUGCUAAUGACGGUACCGUAAGAAUAAGCACCGGCUAACUACGUGCCAGCAGCCGCCGUAA